UACGAGGGACCCGAGCGUUAUCCGGAUUUAUUGGGCGUAAAGCGUCUGUAGGUUGCAUUAUACGUUGCAAGUCAAAUCCUCGUGCCCAACGCGGGGACUGCUUGCAAUACGGUUUUGCUUGAGGCUGGGAGAGGCAACUGGAAUUGCCGGUGUAACGGUAAAAUGUGUUAAUAUCGGCAAGAACACCAAAUGCGAAGGCAUGUUGCUGGCACAGUCCUGACACUUAGAGACGAAAGCGUGGGGAGCGAAUGGG
rnacentral:rRNA from 1 species